rnacentral:rRNA from 1 species
CUAAGAAUCUUGCGCAAUGGGCGAAAGCCUGACGCAGCAACGCCGCGUGGGGGACGAAGGCCUUCGGGUUGUAAACCCCUUUUACGAGGGAAGAAGUUCUGACGGUACCUCGUGAAUAAGCCACGGCUAACUACGUGCCAGCAGCCGCGGUAAUACGUAGGUGGCAAGCGUUGUCCGGAUUUACUGGGCGUAAAGCGCCCGCAGGCGGCUUGGCAAGUCUGAGGUGAAAUCUCCCGGCUCAACUGGGAGGGUGCCCCGGAAACUGCCAGGCUCGAGGCAGGGAGAGGGAUGUGGAAUUCCCGGUGUAGUGGUGAAAUGCGUAGAUAUCGGGAGGAACACCAGUGGCGAAGGCGGCAUCCUGGCCCUGUCCUGACGCUCAGGGGCGAAAGCGUGGGGAGCAAACCGGAUUAGAUACCCGGGUAGUCCACGCCGUAAACGAUGAGUACUAGGUGUGGGGGGUAUCGACCCCCUCUGUGCCGAAGCUAACGCGAUAAGUACUCCGCCU